rnacentral:lncRNA from 1 species
UCCCAAGACUUCAAAUGAACUUCAGAGAAAACUAGGAAAUGAAGGAGAGUCCACAGGCAUUCAGGGAGCAUCAGUUGCCUCUGUUAACCUGGGUCAACCACCAAGAAUGCUCAACCUGCACCUGGUAAACACCAUUCCAGGGAACUUGACUAUUUUGUGAUGAGGAAGAAAAGGCUUAGAAAAUGAGAAGUAGAACAUUACUCGGGACACAUAGUGUCCACGUAGCUCCAAAGCAAGCAGUUAAAAAGUAAAAAAAGGCUAGCCAA